GACGUACGCUGGCGGCGUGCUUAACACAUGCAAGUCGAACGGAAAGGCCCUGCUUUUGUGGGGUGCUCGAGUGGCGAACGGGUGAGUAGCACGUGAGUAACCUGCCCUUGACUUUGGGAUAACUUCAGGAAACUGGGGCUAAUACCGGAUAGGAGCUCCUGCUGCAUGGUGGGGGUUGGAAAGUUUCGGCGGUUGGGGAUGGACUCGCGGCUUAUCAGCUUGUUGGUGGGGUAGUGGCUUACCAAGGCUUUGACGGGUAGCCGGCCUGAGAGGGUGACCGGCCACAUUGGGACUGAGAUACGGCCCAGACUCCUACGGGAGGCAGCAGUGGGGAAUAUUGCACAAUGGGCGGAAGCCUGAUGCAGCAACGCCGCGUGCGGGAUGACGGCCUUCGGGUUGUAAACCGCUUUCGCCUGUGACGAAGCGUGAGUGACGGUAAUGGGUAAAGAAGCACCGGCUAACUACGUG
rnacentral:rRNA from 1 species